rnacentral:rRNA from 1 species
GACGAACGCUGGCGGCGUGCUUAACACAUGCAAGUCGAACGGUAAGGCCCUGCUGUUGUGGGGUGCUCGAGUGGCGAACGGGUGAGUAACAAGUGAGUAACCUGCCCUUGACUUUGGGAUAACUUCAGGAAACUGGGGCUAAUAACGGAUAGGAGCUCCUGCUGCAUGGUGGGGGUUGGAAAGUUUCGGCGGUUGGGGAUGGACUCGCGGGUUAUCAGCUUGUUGGUGGGGUAGUGGCUUACCAAGGCUUUGACGGGUAGCCGGCCUGAGAGGGUGACCGGCGACAUUGGGACUGAGGUACGGCCGAGGCUCCUACUAGAGGCAGCAGUGGGGAAUAUUGCACAAUGGGCGGAGGCCUUAUGAAGCAGCGCCGCGUGCGGGAUGACGGCCUUCGGGUUGAGAACCGCUUUCGCCUGUGACGAAGCGUGAGUGACGGUAAUGGGUAGAGAAGCACCGGCUAACUACGUG